AGAGAGAGACAUGCGCGCAUAUCAAUAAGCGGAGGAAAAGAAACUAACAAGGAUUCCCCUAGUAACGGCGAGUGAAGCGGGAAGAGCUCAAAUUUGAAAUCUUAAAGGGUUUCCCUUUACGAAUUGUAGUUUAAAGAAGUGUUUUCUGUUGAGGUUUUGGUAAAAGUUCUUUGGAAUAGGACAUCAUAGAGGGUGAGAAUCCCGUAUUUGACCUUUACUUUCAACUUUGUGAUACACUUUCAAAGAGUCGGAUUGUUUGGGAAUGCAGUCCAAAAUGGGUGGUAAAUUUCAUCUAAAGCUAAAUAUUGGCGAGAGACCGAUAGCGAACAAGUACCGUGAGGGAAGGAUGAAAAGAACUUUGAAAAGAGAGUUAAACAGUACGUGAAAUUGUCAAAAGGGAAGCGUUUGACACCAGUGUUGUUUCUCUGAAAAUCAAUUAAAGAACUGUUUAUGCUAAGCUGUUUAGACUUUAUCAGCUAACUGUUUAGUUUUGAGCUUUUCUUUAAUGCACUUUUCAGUUAACAAGUCAACAUCAAUUUCUUUUGCUGUAAAAAAGCUUGAGGAAGGUGGCUUGAGAUUCGUCUUAAGUGUUUAUAGCCUCUUGCCUAUGCAGUCGGAGAGAUUGAGGUCUGCAGCGUAGAUCCUUCGGGGCUAAAUGCAUUUGUGCUAAGUUAUAGCAUUUUAUAGACAACUUGUUGACUAUGAUUUGUCUUGUAGCUUACUCGCUUAUGUUAUUUUACCUACGCUUAGGAUGUUGACGCAUGAGAUAUACGC
rnacentral:rRNA from 1 species